GAUGAACGCUGGCGGCGUGCCUAAUACAUGCAAGUCGAGCGAACAGACGAGGAGCUUGCUCCCUUGACGUUAGCGGCGGACGGGUGAGUAACACGUGGAUAACCUACCUAUAAUUCUGGGAUAACUUCGGGAAACCGGAGCUAAUACCGGCUCAUAUAUUGUACCGCAUGGAUCAAUAGAUAAAGACGGCUUUGCUGACACUUAUAGACGGAUCCGGGCCGCAUUAGCUAGUUGGUAAGGUAACGGCUUACCAAGGCAACGAUGCGUAGCCGAUCUGAGAGGGUGAUCGGCCACACUGGAACUGAGACACGGUCCAGACUCCUACGGGAGGCAGCAGUAGGGAAUCUUCCGCAAUGGGCGAAAGCUUGACGGAGCAACGCCGCGUGAGUGAUGAAGGUCUUCGGAUCGUAAAGCUCUGUUAUUAGGGAAGAACAGAUGUGUAAGUAACUAUGCACGUCUUGACGGUACCUAAUCAGAAAGCCACGGCUAACUACGUG
rnacentral:rRNA from 1 species